UUCCGUGACAACGGCAAAGAGGUCACACCUGUUCCCAUCCCGAACACAGCAGUUAAGCUCUUUAGCGUUGAAAGUACUUGGCGGGCAGCUGCCCGGGAGGAUAGAACGUUGCGGGAU
rfam:Pseudoramibacter alactolyticus ATCC 23263 genomic scaffold SCAFFOLD1, whole genome shotgun sequence.